rnacentral:rRNA from 1 species
GGGACGAACGCUGGCGGCGUGCUUAACACAUGCAAGUCGAGCGGAAAGGCCCUUCGGGGUACUCGAGCGGCGAACGGGUGAGUAACACGUGAGCAACCUGCCCCUGGCUCUGGGAUAGCCUCCGGAAACGGGGAUUAAUACCGGACAUUCACUUCCUUCUGCAUGGUUGGUGGUGGAAAGUUUUUCGGCCGGGGAGGGGCUCGCGGUCUAUCAGCUUGUUGGCGGGGUAACGGCCCACCAAGGCGACGACGGAUA